ACCCCCACCGCCACACGUGACUCACCGUCUGCCACCGCUGCCGCUCUGCUUGUCCACCCCGGGAGAGCCCGGCCAGUGCCACCACCCUUUUCCGGGGGUGCGGGGUGGAAACCCCAGCCGAGGAGAGGUCCAGGCAAUGAGAGAAUGUCCUCAGGUGAGGAUAAAAAAACAAACAAAACCUCAGUGACUUAAUACAACAAAAGUUAAUUUCCUGCUCCUGCAAAGUCUUCUGGGCAGCUCUUCUGGUGGCUCACCGUUUCAGCCUGCUUCAGUCCUGUGACCUCUCCUUGAGCACCAUGGCAAUGGGCUGGUAUGGAAAACUGCACUUGAAACUGUAAAUUCUUUCAUCCAGAUAUGACACAGAUCACUCCUCACAUUUUACUGGUUGAAGGAAGUCACAUGGUCAUCACCUAACUUUCAGGGGAGCCGGGCAGUAUCUUCCAUCUUGAUUAUACCCUGAGGACACACCAACCACUAAUAAGUAAGGUUUCAUCAACACAAGAAAAUUUGCUAAUUUUGCUGACAUUGGUGGCCAUUCUCUGCUUGAAGAGUGAAUAUGUGUCUAUGAAGAAUGAAAUAUUUCAAUGAGAUCAAAUCCCGUGUUUCCCCCUAUCAUUGUCUGAAUUACGCUUUUGACAAAGAAUUUUCUUGUUUUCAAGGGGAUGUUGAAAUGUAGUGUAAUGAGUAAAAACCAGUCCAUAAACGAGGGGAAGAAAGUACUCAUAUCCAUCUGAAAAAAUAAAAUCAUGUUUUUCACCAA